AUUGAACGCUGGCGGCAUGCCUAACACAUGCAAGUCGAACGGCAGCACAGUAAAGAUUUCGGUCUUUAUGGGUGGCGAGUGGCGGACGGGUGAGUAAUGCGUAGGAAUCUGUCCUGGAGAGUAGGAUAACCCGAGGAAACUCGGGCUAAUACUGCAUGAUAUCGAGAGAUCAAAGGCAGGGGACCCUUCGGGGCCUUGCGCUCUAGGAUGAGCCUACGUCGGAUUAGCUAGUUGGUGGGGUAAAGGCCUACCAAGGCGACGAUCCGUAGCUGGUCUGAGAGCAUGACCAGCCACACUGGGACUGAGAACCGGCCCAGACUCCUACGGGAGGCAGCAGUGGGGAAUCUUGGACAAUGGGGGAAACCCUGAUCCAGCGAUGCCGCGUGUGUGAAGAAGGCCUUCGGGUUGUAAAGCACUUUAGUUGGGGAAGAAAAGUAAUGAGUGAAUAACUGAUUGCUCUGACGGUACCCAAAGAAUAAGCACCGGCUAACUCUGUGCCAGCCGCCGCGGUAA
rnacentral:rRNA from 1 species